ensembl:lncRNA
UGUGUAAAACUUACAUUUUAAAGCAAGAAAGUGUGUCACUAAGGACAGUCUUUGUUUUAAUAAUUUUUGUGUGUGCAGAGACUAACCCAGACAAUACGUUUAUCUAAAAUUGAUAUAAAAGUCAGUUUAUGGAUUUAAAAUGGUUAUACACAGACUAUCAAGGGGAUAAUUUGAUAGUUUUUUAUUUUUAUUUUUUUAUUGCAAACCCUUUUGUGGUUUCCUGUCUUUCUAUCCCAGUUCUCUUGGGAUGUCUCAUUUCUCUUUUUUAUUCCCUUUUAGCUGAAACAGAGAGACCCUGCAAGCAGGUUUAUCAGUUGAACAUAAGCCAUUUACACGGUGACAGGAUGUCUAUUUCUUGCCAAACAACACCCCACCCGCUGGAGUCUCUAACGGUCAAACUACGCAGUAUCAACCCGCUUAAAGACAUCCUGAAUUAUCCAGACACCUCUUCAGCAUCAGAGCACCAGAGAUGGUCUGUGAGGAAUGAUUCUGGAAAUGUUACAUUUGAUCUGAAAGACAUCAGAUCAUCCGAUGGUGGCCUUUAUGACUGUCAGGUCUACAAGGAUCAGGACUGCCUUCAUUCAACUCGAUUUAACCUGAGUAUUAUAAUGUGUAAAACUUUGAACUCUGUCCAUGCAACACUAAACUCGUCAGUGUUGCUGCCGUGCUCUGAACAUCCUCUACACAACAGAACUGAACAAGUCACUUGGAAAGUUGUUAGUGGUCAUCAAUCAACGGAUAUAUUCCAGUAUCGAGGUCCAUACAAGCCCUCCAGCAGCACAGAGAAACCCCUGUAUGAGAGAGUGAGAGAACUAAAUAACGGAUCUUUGCUUAUAAGGAAUGCAGUACACACUGAUGAAUUGUGGUAUCGGUGCAGAGUGAAUGAAAAAACCUGCUAUGAGAUGAGGCUGGUGAUGAAAGAUGUUGUUUCAGCCUCUGCUGACAGUCUUGCUGGCCUGGCCGAAAGCAACAGUGAUGGGAGUGAAACAGUGACAACUAAUCUGACAGUAGUAGUGAUGACCACAGUAGUGUCUCUGUGUGUCCUCAUAUUACUGACCGUCUGUGCCAUUCUUUAUUUCAAAAAACAAAGACGCAAAACCAACAGCCAAUUACAGUUAAACAGUCAGUUCUCUGUAUAUUACUCCCGUGUUGCAGAAGGGUUUGAUGUCCCGUUGUAUUCUUUAGUUGAACAAAACUCAGGAACAAUGAUCACCUUUGGUGCUGAACAAUCAGAAGCUCCGGCAGAUAAACCAGAUGACAUGUAUGAAAAGUUAACAUUUUGAAAUGAAUAAUGGCGUUUUUAAUGUUUUUUGACAUCAGAGUCUUUGAGUAAUCACUGAUUAUAUGGCAUUUGUCACAAAUUAUAAUAAAGGGUAACAUCUUUUAUCCA